AGAGUUUGAUCAUGGCUCAGAACGAACGUUAGCGGCGCGCCUAACACAUGCAAGUCGCACGAGAAAGGGCUUCGGCCCCGGUACAGUGGCGCACGGGUGAGUAACACGUAGGUAAUCUUCCCUAGAGUGGUGGAUAACUCUCCGAAAGGAGAGCUAAUACAGCAUGAGACCACAGCAUCUACGGAUGCAGCGGUCAAAGCAGGCCUCUUCAUGAAAGCUUGCGCUCAAGGAUGAGCCUGCGGCCCAUCAGCUAGUUGGUGAGGUAACGGCCCACCAAGGCUAAGACGGGUAGCUGGUCUGAGAGGAUGAACAGCCACACUGGAACUGACACACGGUCCAGACUCCUACGGGAGGCAGCAGUGGGGAAUCUUGCGCAAUGGGCGAAAGCCUGACGCAGCGACGCCGCGUGAGCGAUGAAGGCCUUCGGGUUGUAAAGCUCUGUGGGGAGAGAAGAAUAAGGAUACGCUAACACCGUACUCGAUGACGGUUCUCCUAGCA
rnacentral:rRNA from 1 species